rnacentral:rRNA from 1 species
AUGAACGCUAGCUACAGGCUUAACACAUGCAAGUCGAGGGGCAGCAUGAUUGAAGCUUGCUUCAAUCGAUGGCGACCGGCGCACGGGUGAGUAACACGUAUCCAACCUGCCGAUAACUCGGGGAUAGCCUUUCGAAAGAAAGAUUAAUACCCGAUAGCAUAGUAUUUCCGCAUGGUUUCACUAUUAAAGAACUUCGGUUAUCGAUGGGGAUGCGUUCCAUUAGAUAGUUGGCGGGGUAACGGCCCACCAAGUCAACGAUGGAUAGGGGUUCUGAGAGGAAGGUCCCCCACAUUGGAACUGAGACACGGUCCAAACUCCUACGGGAGGCAGCAGUGAGGAAUAUUGGUCAAUGGACGAGAGUCUGAACCAGCCAAGUAGCGUGAAGGAUGACUGCCCUAUGGGUUGUAAACUUCUUUUAUACGGGAAUAAAGUGGAGUAUGCAUACUCCUUUGUAUGUACCGUAUGAAUAAGGAUCGGCUAACUCCGUGCCAGCAGCCGCGGUAAUACGGAGGAUCCGAGCGUUAUCCGGAUUUAUUGGGUUUAAAGGGAGCGUAGGCGGGUGCUUAAGUCAGUUGUGAAAGUUUGCGGCUCAACCGUAAAAUUGCAGUUGAUACUGGGUACCUUGAGUGCAGCAUAGGUAGGCGGAAUUCGUGGUGUAGCGGUGAAAUGCUUAGAUAUCACGAAGAACUCCUAUUGCGAAGGCAGCUUACUGGACUGUAACUGACGCUGAUGCUCGAAAGUGUGGGUAUCAAACAGGAUUAGAUACCCUGGUAGUCCACACAGUAAACGAUGAAUACUCGCUGUUGGCGAUACACAGUCAGCGGCCAAGCGAAAGCAUUAAGUAUUCCACCUGGGGAGUACGCCGGCAACGGUGAAACUCAAAGGAAUUGACGGGGGCCCGCACAAGCGGAGGAACAUGUGGUUUAAUUCGAUGAUACGCGAGGAACCUUACCCGGGCUUGAAAGUUAGCGACGGAUCUGGAAACAGGUCUUCCCUUCGGGGCGCGAAACUAGGUGCUGCAUGGUUGUCGUCAGCUCGUGUCGUGAGAUGUUGGGUUAAGUCCCGCAACGAGCGCAACCCUUAUGGUCAGUUACUACGCAAGAGGACUCUGGCCAGACUGCCGUUGACAAAACGGAGGAAGGUGGGGAUGACGUCAAAUCAGCACGGCCCUUACGUCCGGGGCUACACACGUGUUACAAUGGGGGGUACAGAAGGCAGCUACCUGGCGACAGGAUGCUAAUCCCAAAAACCUCUCUCAGUUCGGAUUGGAGUCUGCAACCCGACUCCAUGAAGCUGGAUUCGCUAGUAAUCGCGCAUCAGCCACGGCGCGGUGAAUACGUUCCCGGGCCUUGUACACACCGCCCGUCAAGCCAUGAAAGCCGGGGGUACCUGAAGUACGUAACCGCAAGGAGCGUCCUAGGGUAAAACUGGUGAUUGGGGCU